AACGAACGCUGGCGGCAGGCUUAACACAUGCAAGUCGAGCGCCCCGCAAGGGGAGCGGCAGACGGGUGAGUAACGCGUGGGGAUCUGCCUAGUGGUACGGAACAACACGGGGAAACUCGUGCUAAUACCGUAUAAGUCCUACGGGAGAAAGAUUUAUCGCCAUUGGAUGAACCCGCGUCUGAUUAGCUAGUUGGUGAGGUAACGGCUCACCAAGGCGACGAUCAGUAGCUGGUCUGAGAGGAUGAUCAGCCACACUGAGACUGAGACACGGCCCAGACUCCUACGGGAGGCAGCAGAGGGGAAUAUUGGACAAUGGGCGCAAGCCUGAUCCAGCCAUGCCGCGUGAGUGAUGAAGGCCUUAGGGUUGUAAAGCUCUUUCGCUGGGGAAGAUAAUGACGGUACCCAGAGAAGAAGCCCCGGCUAACUUCGUGCCAGCCGCCGCCGUAA
rnacentral:rRNA from 1 species